GACCUGGUAGCACAAUGUCAGUGCGUCUGCAUUCAGUAAGGAUUGUGGAGUCAGUGGAGUCAACUUUCUGCAGAGGAUCCCCGUUCGACUCGGGGUCAGGUCA